GGUCGCCCCAAACUUCCUCUGGCCCUGCUUCUCCUCAUGCAACAGCUUACGUUCGUGAACACUUUUGCCAACCUUCAGUGCUAUGAUAAGAUGACAAUGUUGGGCAAACGAAACUGAUCCUGAAUGUUUGAACGGGAUUUAUGCGGGGCAGUGAAUGUUGCAGGCAUAUCAAUGUUACUUGCAGAAUAUAUGGCCUGUGAAUUUGUGAAAAAUCAAAGUUGUGCUACAAGAUUGUUACCUUGUUUGUGGAGGCGUUGAACGGCAUCAAAACGAAACAUGGUCAAGCAUAUUUUCUUGUACAUUAUUGACUUGCUGUAAAUUGAUUUUUUUUUAUUUUACCAAGCAAUAAAAUUGUAGGACCCGUGUUAAGGAAAA